AGCGAACGCUGGCGGCAGGCUUAACACAUGCAAGUCGAGCGGGCAUCCUUGUGGUGUCAGCGGCAGACGGGUGAGUAACGCGUGGGAACGUGCCCUUCGGUUCGGAAUAACUCAGGGAAACUUGAGCUAAUACCGGAUACGUGCGAGAGCAGAAAGGUUUAUCUGCCGAAGGAUCGGCCCGCGUCUGAUUAGCUAGUUGGUGAGGUUAUGGCUCACCAAGGCGACGAUCAGUAGCUGGUCUGAGAGGAUGAUCAGCCACACUGGGACUGAGACACGGCCCAGACUCCUACGGGAGGCCGCAGUGGGGAAUAUUGGACAAUGGGGGCAACCCUGAUCCAGCCAUGCCGCGUGAGUGAUGACGGCCUUAGGGUUGUAAAGCUCUUUUCUCCGGGACGAUAAUGACGGUACCGGAGGAAUAAGCCCCGGCUAACUUCGUG
rnacentral:rRNA from 1 species